CGGAGGAUCCAAGCGUUAUCCGGAAUCAUUGGGUUUAAAGGGUCCGUAGGCGGGUUUAUAAGUCAGUGGUGAAAGCCCAUCGCUCAACGAUGGAACGGCCAUUGAUACUGUAGAUCUUGAAUUAUUAGGAAGUAACUAGAAUAUGUAGUGUAGCGGUGAAAUGCUUAGAGAUUACAUGGAAUACCAAUUGCGAAGGCAGGUUACUACUAAUGGAUUGACGCUGAUGGACGAAAGCGUGGGUAGCGAACAGGAUUAGAUACCCUGGUAGUCCACGCCGUAAACGAUGGAUACUAGCUGUUCGGAGCAAUCUGAGUGGCUAAGCGAAAGUGAUAAGUAUCCCACCUGGGGAGUACGUUCGCAAAAAUG
rnacentral:rRNA from 1 species